UUACAGUUUAUUUCUGUUUAAUACCUUAUUAAUCUUUAUUAAAAAUGAGAUUUGAUAAGGAUCCAGGCAGCGGUAUCCAAAACAUUAGACAAGACAUGGGCAAGGGUCAUGCAGUGAGCAAAUAGGAACCCAUGGCAAACGAUUACAAAACCAGUACAGCAAACACUUUGAAGAUGGCUCAGUAGGGUCAGAAGUGAAAACACGAACAGCAUUAUUUCACUACUGUGUGCAUAUUUGCCGAAGGUACAGGUGUAACAGUUAGGCAUGUGUAACCAGGCAAGUGCCUACCAGUGGGGGGGGUGGUAGGCUAAUUAUUCCAAAGACUUUGUAAGCAGGCACCUGGAAGAGGUUUUGAAAUUUGGGCCUUGUUUUAAAAGCACAUGGGAUCUAAUGCUGCUUUGUUUGGUUGUGUCUGAAUUUGCCCCAGAUGUGAUGCAGAUGAUUUAAGUAAUGCUGACUGUAUGUUGACAGCUGCUGGUAUAGGUAAAUAUAUGGGCUUUGUUUAAUUUAAUGAAGAUGGGAUGAAAUGUUUUAAUUGUAUUUUUCUCUGGUAACGUGUUUUAUUCAGAUGUGAAUAAAUGCUCAAACAUUGACUGAUGGUUAUAUCUGCUAUAUGCCAAAGGAGGUAAAUGUGUUAAUGUUAAUGUUAAUUAAAUUGAGAUUGUGCAGCUGGUAACUGGGGUUUUAAAUAUUUAGUGUUUUAAUAAAAUAUAGGUGUAUUGUUAAUUUUGUUUUCUUUUGUUUUAGAUUUAAGUCGGUUGCUGUUUCUCCUGUAUUGUUUUUGUUUGGUUCCCUAGCUGGCCGGUAUCAGGUGUGUGUGCUGCAUGGUGGCAGCACGUGUAUUUUGUGGAUUGUUUGUGUAUGAGUCCGGUUGGUUGGGGUUUUGUGGGUUUUUUGUAUAAGACCUUCCCAGCCUUAUGUCGCCAGCUUGAUUAUUAGUGCUUGCUUUCUGUAUGUGUGUGGGCCAUUUCUUGUAUGGGAUCUAUGUUUGCCAUGUUUUCUUGAUGUGGUUAUGAGUGAAGGUUUAUGUUUUGAUUUGUUAGUUUUAUUUGAAGUUGUGGUGUUUUUUUUUUUUUGCUUUUCAGUGUGAAUUAUCAGGGAAAUGCCGCCUUGCGCUUUAAGGGCCUGCCACAUGCUAGGAAACUAGCUAAUAUAGUUAGUGUGAGUUGGCUAUUAACAUCAUGGAGAGCUGUGACCAAUCUUUGAGUUAUUUACAUGAAUCAUUUUAUGUUUGUGUUUUGUGUAUAUCCUUUGUCCUAUUUUUGUAAUAAAUCUUUGUACCUUGA